GCGCUGCCAUCUGCUUCCCUCAAUCAGCGCCCGCCCGCUCCCGGCACCUGCGCGGCCGCGGCACGGGAACCCCCGCCGCACACACACCGGCUUCCAGCAAAUCACCGCCGAGCCGCCUCCAAAAACGCCGACCGAGCACUGAACGCCGAACAGCGACAAAGCUAAACAAACACAAAACGCCGCUUUACGCGCUUCUCGAACUUGUUUAAAUGGAGGUGAAGAUCGCCGCCAGGUGAAGCGCGCUGACAGCCCGGCGCUCUUCCCCCUUGACCCCGUAAAUCGGAGCGGGGCGCGCAAUUAAAGCUCAGCCGUCGUGCCGUGCCCCCGGUGCACGGCCGCCUGUGAAUAACAGGCUUAAAGCCGGGAAGAAUAGCGUGGGCUAGGCGGGAUAAAACAGCAGCCUGCUGAAAGGCCGGGCAGCGCUAACGAGGGCCCGCCGACGCACCGAGCGCGCUGCGCUGCCGGCCGGCCGGGCGCAGACAAAGGCCCGGCGCUGCGGGCAGGUCCGCCCCGACACGGGUUCCGCUCUGGCCUCCGAGAGACCUUUCUCUCUCCGAGCCAGGACUACUUCAUGACCUACGGCUACCCCCGAGCCGUGCGCCUCGGUGUACACGGGCACCCUCGGCAGCGGAGACGCGGUCGAAGCGAUUCGGAUGGAGUUUCAAAUCACUUCCCUUUCCAGACCAGUCAUAAACACACACGUGAAAGAGCGACCAGCUUGCGGAGAACAAAGCCCGUGUGCUGCUCCACCGGGAAUUUUAAGUUCUAAAUUCAGCAACAGAAUUCCUCUUUUUAAAUGCACAACUUCUUUAAAGGAAAGAAAAAAAAAAAAAGUGAAGUAGAAAUAGAACAGCACCACCUCUCUAAACGCAGGGACACACGGCUUCCCAGUGUUCCCAGUGCAUCGCACACGCAGGAGCUUCAUCUGGGCAGUGAGAGCAUCAGCUGCCUUGCAUUGCCAGCAACUGUUCCUCAUCUUCCCAUGGAGCCAGCGUGAUUUGCUCCUGACAAUUGAAUGAAUGUACACACUUUUGACUGAGCCUUUGCACUUUCCAGCAGAUCACACUCAGCAUUAGCCUGGAAGAGAAUUACCUUUCCACAGGAAGAACAGGCAAGCACUCAGAGAUUGUUCUCAGAGGCUCUACCAUUAGGAUUCCCUGUCAGUGCUCAGCGUUGGGUGCACAUGAUUAGUGCUCUUUCCAAGUCUGGCAACAAGGAAGGUAGACUGUAACAUACACAUUUAGACAACUCUCAUAUUUGUUUUUACACAUGCAUGAAUGCAAAAGUUAGCCAAGGCCCACUAGUGACAAGUAACAUAAAUCCACUGUGCACUGAGCACACUCAAAUACUCAGAAGUAAAAGGAGCAAAGUUGUCAGGAAGUUAAGACAAGAAUUUUUUCUGCUGUCCGGGAGAGGUCUGAAUGGUACAUGCUACACACUACAGUUCUUCAUGGAAGAGACAGAACAAGAGGGAAGGCCUCAGUGACAGACUGAUGGUCUGUGAUGGCUGGCUUAAGCAAGAACUUCCAAGAGUGACUUCUGCAUGUUUCUGUCCUCCAUAUGUUUAUUAAGAUCUUUUUUAGAGCAAGAGGGUCUAAGUUGCAGUGGAAAUCCAGCUUUAAUGGAAACCCCAUGCACUCACUGCAUUAGCACUGCAUCCAUCAGCCCCACUGGAGACCACCUCAUAUUAGGCAUCGUGAAAUAUCAAUCAACGCCUGUUCUAGAAAUCUGUAGUCACCACUGGCACGUACAGCUCUGUGCUGGAAAGUUCACAAAAACUGGGUAUCUGUAUAGAAAACACUACCCCACAAAGUCAGUGGUAACAAUGAGUUCUGCAGUUUAAUUGCGCAUUACAAAAAAUGGAGAUCUUUUAAAAUGUUCUGAUUGUGUGAAUUUGGGUGACUGAAUUAAGUGUCUCAGAUUUGUUAUAUGACACAGAAUAAAACUGUCUUCUCUGUA